rnacentral:rRNA from 1 species
ACUACGGGUGGCAGCAGUGGGGAAUAUUGGGCAAUGGGCGCAAGCCUGACCCAGCAACGCCGCGUGAAGGAAGAAGGCUUUCGGGUUGUAAACUUCUUUUGACAGGGAAGAGUAGAAUACGGUACCUGUCGAAUUAGCCACGGCUAACUACGUGCCAGCAGCCGCGGUAAUACGUAGGUUGCAAGUGUUUACCGGAUUUACUGGGUGUUAAGGGCGUGUAGGCGGGUUGACAAGUCAGGUGGGAAAUCCGGCGGCUUAAACGGAGAACUGGAUGUGUAACUGUUUAUGUUGAGUACUGGAGAGAGAGACGGAAGUCCGAGUGGAGCGGUGAAAUGCGUAGAUAUUAGGAGGAACGCCAGUGGAGAAGGCGGUCUGCUGGACAGAAAGUGACGGUGAGGCGCGAAAGCGUGGAGCAAACAGGAUUAGAUACCCGUGUAGUC